rnacentral:rRNA from 1 species
ACCGGACCGACAGCAAUAUGAAGGCCAGGCUGAAGACUUUGCCGGAUUAGCUGAGAGGUGGUGCAUGGCCGUCGUCAGUUCGUACUGUGAAGCAUCCUGUUAAGUCAGGCAACGAGCGAGACCCACGCCCACAGUUGCCAGCGUACUCUCUGGAGUGACGGGUACACUGUGGGGACCGCCGCUGCUAAAGCGGAGGAAGGAAUGGGCAACGGUAGGUCAGUAUGCCCCGAAUAUCCCGGGCUACACGCGAGCUACAAUGGUUGGUACAAUGGGUAUCUACCCCGAAAGGGGACGGGAAUCUCCUAAACCUGUCCUUAGUUCGGAUUGUGGGCUGCAACUCGCCCACAUGAAGCUGGAAUCUGUAGUAAUCGCGUCUCAAAAUGGCGCGGUGAAUAUGUCCCUGCUCCUU